rnacentral:rRNA from 1 species
UACGUAGGCAGCAAGCGUUGUUCGGAAUUAUUGGGCGUAAAGAGCUCGUAGGCGGUUUGUCGCGUCUGCUGUGAAAACUGGAGGCUCAACCUCCAGCCUGCAGUGGGUACGGGCAAACUAGAGUGCGGUAGGGGAGACUGGAAUUCCUGGUGUAGCGGUGAAAUGCGCAGAUAUCAGGAGGAACACCGGUGGCGAAGGCGGGUCUCUGGGCCGAUACUGACGCUGAGGAGCGAAAGCGUGGGGAGCGAACAGG